rnacentral:lncRNA from 1 species
GCCCACGCAAGUUUCUACUCAUCACCAUGGACUAUUUUAUCAAAUGAGUAGAAACUGAACCUCUUACCCAUACGACAGAAGUAAGGAUGGUAGACUUCAUCUGAAAGUCGAUUAUUUAUCGGUUCAGUCUACUCUGAGUAUUGAUCACUGAUAAUGGGUGUUAGUUCAUAGGAGCCAAAUUUGAAAGAUUCUAUGAGGAGCAUGAGAUAGCACAUCACCUCACCUCCAUCGUCAAGCAAAUGGUGAAGUAGAGGUAACAAAUUGCAAAAUACU